rnacentral:SRP_RNA from 1 species
AACCGGGUCCCGUGCGGCGUCAUGCUGCGAAUCGUGUCAGGGCCGGAAGGCAGCAGCACUAAACAGAUGUUGACGCGCGCCGCGGGGAAUGCCUGGUUCGA